rnacentral:misc_RNA from 1 species
UUUCCGUAGGUGAACCUGCGGAAGGAUCAUUACAGAGUUCAUGCCCUCACGGGUAGAUCUCCCACCCUUGAAUAUGUAUACCUUAGUUGCUUUGGCAGGCCGUGGAAACACCAUGGGCUCCGGCUUAUGCGUGCCUGCCAGAGGAAACAAACUCUGUUUUUAGUGAUGUCUGAGUACUAUAUAAUAGUUAAAACUUUCAACAACGGAUCUCUUGGUUCUG